AUUGAACGCUGGCGGCAGGCCUAACACAUGCAAGUCGAGCGGAUGAGAGGAGCUUGCUUCUCGAUUCAGCGGCGGACGGGUGAGUAAUGCCUAGGAAUCUGCCUGGUAGUGGGGGACAACGUUUCGAAAGGAACGCUAAUACCGCAUACGUCCUACGGGAGAAAGCAGGGGACCUUCGGGCCUUGCGCUAUCAGAUGAGCCUAGGUCGGAUUAGCUAGUUGGUGAGGUAAUGGCUCACCAAGGCGACGAUCCGUAACUGGUCUGAGAGGAUGAUCAGUCACACUGGAACUGAGACACGGUCCAGACUCCUACGGGAGGCAGCAGUGGGGAAUAUUGGACAAUGGGCGAAAGCCUGAUCCAGCCAUGCCGCGUGUGUGAAGAAGGUCUUCGGAUUGUAAAGCACUUUAAGUUGGGAGGAAGGGUUGUAGAUUAAUACUCUGCAAUUUUGACGUUACCGACAGAAUAAGCACCGGCUAACUCUGUGCCAGCAGCCGCGGUAA
rnacentral:rRNA from 1 species